UCGGGGUCCCUGCGCAUGCGUAGAGCUGAGUCUCCGUCCUAGCUCCUGCGAAUUCCGUCAGUGCCAAAGCUGAGGGCUUCAUGGAGCCCUCUGAAGAUCACUGCAGGCCCCUCGGAGAGGGACAGAGGGACACUGAUGAAAGUGCAGACUGUGCUGUGGUUCCACUCAGCAGGACGAAUGUGUGAUGAGACUGGGAAGGGUCCCCAAGACACCCAUGUUCAGGGCCUGGCCCGGCUGGACCUCAGGUUUGUGUGGCAUGCUUACUGGAGUGCACAGAAAUGUCAGUGACUUAAACUGCUUCCUGACCUCUGAAUGUACACCUCUACCUUCCUGCCCCCCUGGACCCAUCUAGAGCCCUACGUCUAGAGCCUUAGGCCUGACAGCCAAUAUCCACUGCCGUGGUCACCAAUGGCUGAUGAAGAGACAGCGCCCUGCUACCCUCUGUGCAUGGCGCUCGGUUUAGGCCCAGGCAUCCUGAGCUUCCUGGACAGUAAAUAAGAAAGUGCUAGUUUGUGUAUUGGGAUCUUUUUAUUUUUCAGUAUUGGGUAUUGAACUCAGGACCCUUGCAUUGAACUCCAUUCCUAGACCCCCC
rnacentral:lncRNA from 1 species